AUUGAACGCUGGCGGCACGCCUAACACAUGCAAGUCGAACGAGUGGGGACGGGUGAGUAACGCGUGGGUAACCUCCCAUCAGAGGGGAUAACACUUGGAAACAUGUGCUAAACCCAUACGGAUAGAUGGACCCACGGUGCAUUAGCUAGUUGGUGAGGUAACGGCUCACCAGGGCCACGAUGCAUAGCCGACCUGAGAGGGUGAGCGGCCACACGGGGACUGAGACACGGCCCAGACUCCGACGGGAGGCAGCAGUAGGGAAUCUUCGGCAAUGGACGAAAGUCUGACCGAGCAACGCCGCGUGAGUGAAGAAGGUUUUCGGAUCGUAAAACUCUGUUGGUAGAGAAGCGGUAUCUACCCAGAAAGCAACGGCUAACUACGUGCCAGCAGCCGCGGUAAUUC
rnacentral:rRNA from 1 species